rnacentral:rRNA from 1 species
CCCUUAGAUGUUCUGGGCCGCACGCGCGCUACACUGACGAAUGCAACGAGCUUAUAACCUUGGCCGAAAGGUCUGGGUAAUCUCCAAAUUUCGUCGUGAUGGGGUUAGAUUAUUGCAAUUAUUAAUCUUCAACGAGGAAUGCCUAGUAAGCGCAAGUCAUCAGCUUGCGUUGAUUACGUCCCUGCCCUUUGUACACACCGCCCGUCGCUCCUACCGAUUGAAUGGUCCGGUGAAGCGUUCGGACCGUGGCCUUUGGACGGUUCGCCGUCUGUUGGCUGCGGGAAGUUCGUUAAACCUUAUCAUUUAGAGGAAGGAGAAGUCGUANCA